rnacentral:rRNA from 1 species
AUGGGGUGCAGCAGGCGCGGAACCUCCGCAAUACACGAAAGUGUGACGGGGUUACCCAAAGUGUUCAUUAUUGAACUGUGGUAGGUGAGUAAUGUUCCCUACUAGAAAGGAGAGGGCAAGGCUGGUGCCAGCCGCCGCGGUAAAACCAGCUCUUCAAGUGGUCGGGAUGAUUAUUGGGCUUAAAGUGUCCGUAGCCGGUUUAGUAAGUUCCUGGUAAAAUCGGGUAGCUUAACUAUCCGUAUGCUAGGAAUACUGCUAUACUAGAGGGCGGGAGAGGUCUGAGGUACUAUAGGGGUAGGGGUGAAAUCCUAUAAUCCUUGUAGGACCACCAGUGGCGAAGGCGUCAGACUGGAACGCGCCUGACGGUGAGGGACNAAAGCCAGGGGAGCGAACCGGAUUAGAUACCCGGGUAGUCCUGGCCGUAAACGAUGCAUACUAGGUGAUGGCACGGCCAUGAGCCGUGUCAGUGCCGUAGGGAAACCGUUAAGUGUGCCGCCUGGGAAGUACGGUCGCAAGGCUAAAACUUAAAGGAAUUGGCGGGGGAGCAC